AGUGGCGAACGGGUGAGUAACACGUGGGUAACCUACCAUAUAGACAGGGACAACAGUUGGAAACGACUGCUAAUACCUGAUAACAUAAGCUAUCGCAUGAUAGGUUAUGGAAAGGGGCGUAUGCCUCACUAUGUGAUGGACCCGCGGCGCAUUAGCUAGUUGGUGAGAUAAAAGCUCACCAAGGCGACGAUGCGUAGCCGACCUGAGAGGGUGAACGGCCACAUUGGGACUGAGACACGGCCCAGACUCCUACGGGAGGCAGCAGCAGGGAAUUUUCCACAAUGGGGGCAACCCUGAUGGAGCAAUGCCGCGUGAGAGAAGAAGGCCUUCGGGUUGUAAAUCUCUGUUGUAAGGGAAGAAAAUUGAUAAGAGGAAAUGCUUAUUAAGUGACGGUACCUUACCAGAAAGCCACGGCUAACUACGUGCCAGCAGCCGCGGUAAUACGUANGUGGCGAGCGUUAUCCGGAAUUAUUGGGCGUAAAGGGUGCGCAGGCGGU
rnacentral:rRNA from 1 species